UACAGAGGGGGCAAGCGUUGUUCGGAAUUACUGGGCGUAAAGGGCGCGUAGGCGGCCGCCUAAGUCAGACGUGAAAUCCCUCGGCUCAACCGGGGAACUGCGUCUGAUACUGGAUGGCUUGAGUUCGGGAGAGGGAUGCGGAAUUCCAGGUGUAGCGGUGAAAUGCGUAGAUAUCUGGAGGAACACCGGUGGCGAAGGCGGCAUCCUGGACCGACACUGACACUGAGGAGCGAAAGCCAGGGGAGCAAACGGG
rnacentral:rRNA from 1 species